UACUUGAGGCACAAAUAACUACACUCAAGUUAUCCUACUUUGGACACAUUAUGUGAAGAUUUAUCUCUUUGGAGAAGUCUCUAAUGCUGGGAGAGGUGAAAGGAAAGACAAGAAAAGGACAAUCAGCAGCAAGAUGGAUAGGUUCAGUGUAAGCCCUUCAAGCCCAGACAGGAUAUAUCUAUUCCUAAAGAACAUGAAUGAACUCAAACAAAGGCAAACUUUCACAGAAAUUGUAAUGGUUUAUUGAGUUCCAUCCUUCAUCGCCAGAAUGUGAUCUUCUGUCAUACUCAGUAAAUGUUCAAUAAGUGGGUUAAGUCAAGAAGAAUUUGGAAAAAAUGGACAAAUAGAUUUGUCUAGGAACUUCCUUUUUCCCUUAUGCUGUUUACAUUUUAAUAAGGUUGAAUUCAUCUCAGAUUCCCCAAGCCCUUGAAAACAUUGAUAUUGCAAGGAGAGGGAGCAUAUAUUAUUAUUUUCAACUGUACAAAGAAAGAAAUAGAUGAACAAAGAAUAAUGUAAGGUGACUACAUCAGAAGUGCCAGCACUUCAAUAAAGGUCGAGUGAAAAAUGUCAUGAGAUAAUUCCUCCACAUUUAUUUCUUAUUCUUUUCUUUGGGAACUACAGACAUCUGGAGAUAAAGCAAAGCAAAUUAAAUUUGUAUACUGAAUAACAUUUUUUUUUCUAAUUGAUUGGAAGUUAUUUUUGAUAUACUAUGCUGUGGUCAUUCUGCAACAGAUCUGUGAAAUAUUCUUUGGUGCAUUUAAAAUAUUUUUUCCCCUUUUAAAUCAAUUG